UACGUAGGGUGCGAGCGUUGUCCGGAAUUAUUGGGCGUAAAGGGCUCGUAGGCGGUUUGUCGCGUCGGGAGUGAAAUCCACUGGCUUAACUGGUGGCUUGCUUUCGAUACGGGCAGACUGGAGGUAUGCAGGGGAGAACGGAAUUCCUGGUGUAGCGGUGAAAUGCGCAGAUAUCAGGAGGAACACCGGUGGCGAAGGCGGGUCUCUGGGCCGAUACUGACGCUGAGGUGCGAAAGCGUGGGGAGCGAACAGG
rnacentral:rRNA from 1 species